UGACUACAAAAAAGAUUGUGAGGAUAAAGGAAGUUGUUUAACUGUGUUCUGUUUCAGACUUUUAGAAAAUAAUAGGAGCAUAAGUUUGCAAGCAUCUAAAAACUGGGAUAAAGGAAAAUGAGUGUCUUAGGAGGGUUGUUGGUCGUAAACCUUCAAAUACCAUUAGAAGGUUAACCUUCAUGUACAAAUCUUUUAACACACUCAAGCCCACACUGAUAUGUAGAGUGUAUAGUGUUAGAUGAACAGGGCUUGCGUUUUAUGAUGGUAUUGGAGAUGAAAAUGCUAUGAUUAUAUAUUACAACAUUUAUUCUAUGUACUUCUAUCAUGCUUCUGAAUCCUGAUUGUUUAUUUUUAUCCAUGUGAUGAUAAAAAGAAAAUGCUUUGAAGCAUGUUUGGGUGUGUGGUAGCAAUUUUUAUUUUGUGUUGGAAAUACCUGUCCAGGGGAGAUAAGUUGUGUUUAAUUUGUGGUCUUUGUUUUCAUGGCUUGUUUUUAUGGUCUGUGGUCUUUGUUUUCAUCCCUUGUUAUGAUCUCCAGUUUCCUUGAUCUCCUCUUGGUGUUUACGUGAUUGAUCUAA
rnacentral:misc_RNA from 1 species